GACGAACCGCCCGAACGUUGUUCGGAAUCACUGGGCUUAAAGGGCGCGUAGGCGGGCGAGCAAGUCAGGGGUGAAAGCCCCCAGCUUAACUGGGGAAGUGCCUUUGAUACUGCUGGUCUUGAGGGAGAUAGGGGCGUGCGGAACUUCCGGUGGAGCGGUGAAAUGCGUAGAUAUCGGAAGGAACACCGGUGGCGAAAGCGGCGCGCUGGAUCUCUACUGACGCUGAGGCGCGAAAGCCAGGGGAGCAAACGGG
rnacentral:rRNA from 1 species